rnacentral:rRNA from 1 species
AGAGUUUGAUCCUGGCUCAGGAUGAACGCUGGCGGCGUGCUUAACACAUGCAAGUCGAGCGAAGCACUCCACCGGAUUUCUUCGGAAGGAAGGUGGUUUGACUGAGCGGCGGACGGGUGAGUAACGCGUGGGUAACCUGCCUUACACAGGGGGAUAACAGUUAGAAAUGACUGCUAAUACCGCAUAACCCGCUAGGGCCGCAUGGCCCGGACGGAAAAGAUUUUAUCGGUGUAAGAUGGACCCGCGUCUGAUUAGCUGGUUGGUGAGGUAACGGCCCACCAAGGCGACGAUCAGUAGCCGACCUGAGAGAGUGAUCGGCCACAUUGGGACUGAGACACGGCCCAAACUCCUACGGGAGGCAGCAGUGGGAAAUAUUGCACAAUGGGGGAAACCCUGAUGCAGCAACGCCGCGUGAGUGAAGAAGUAUUUCGGUAUGUAAAGCUCUAUCAGCAGGGAAGAAAAUGACAGUACCUGACUAAGAAGCCCCGGCUAACUACGUG